UGCUUGCUUCCAUUUCAUGCACUCAAUUUCAGGAUUCAAUUUUUGUAAAUAUUCGAGAAAAAAAAGUUUUAGAAGGUGAAAGUCAGAUUUCGUUUUAGUUAAGCCAGGGGUCCCACAGGGGUCAAUUAUUGGACCAAGUCUUUUUAUUUAUAAAUUAACUGUUUACAAAAUUUUGAAUUUUUUGAAAUACUAAGGCUUUUCUACCUCAGGCAUAGAUUACCUUAGCUGUAUUUGGCAACACUUUUAGGAAUUUUGGAUCUCAAUGCUCUUCAACUUCGUACUUUAUU
rnacentral:lncRNA from 1 species